UUUUACAAUGAAGAGUUUGAUCCUGGCUCAGGAUGAACGCUAGCUACAGGCUUAACACAUGCAAGUCGAGGGGCAGCGGGAUUGAAGCUUGCUUCAAUUGCCGGCGACCGGCGCACGGGUGAGUAACGCGUAUCCAACCUUCCGUACACUCAGGGAUAGCCUUUCGAAAGAAAGAUUAAUACCUGAUGGUAUGAUGAGAUUGCAUGAUAUCAUCAUUAAAGAUUUAUCGGUGUACGAUGGGGAUGCGUUCCAUUAGGUAGUAGGCGGGGUAACGGCCCACCUAGCCAACGAUGGAUAGGGGUUCUGAGAGGAAGGUCCCCCACAUUGGAACUGAGACACGGUCCAAACUCCUACGGGAGGCAGCAGUGAGGAAUAUUGGUCAAUGGACGAGAGUCU
rnacentral:rRNA from 1 species